UACGUAGGUGACAAGCGUUGUCCGGAUUUACUGGGCGUAAAGAGCGCGCAGGCGGUCGAUCAAGUCGAGUGUGAAAGCCCCCGGCUCAACUGGGGAGGGUCAUUCGAUACUGAUCGACUUGAAGGCAGGAGAGGGAAGUGGAAUUCCCGGUGUAGUGGUGGAAAUGCGUAGAUAUCGGGAGGAACACCAGUGGCGAAGGCGACUUCCUGGCCUGUUCUUGACGCUGAGGCGCGAAAGCUAGGGGAGCAAACGGGG
rnacentral:rRNA from 1 species